AGAACGAGGGGACGUAACGGAGGCAGGUUGGAGCCGCUGCCGUCGCCAUGACCCGCGGUAACCAGCGUGAGCUCGCCCGCCAGAAGAAUAUGAAAAAGCAGAGCGACUCGGUUAAGGGAAAGCGCCGAGAUGACGGGCUUUCUGCUGCCGCCCGCAAGCAGAGGUAGCCCCAGGGAGGGGAGGGAAAGGGACGGUGGAGACCUGGGUUAGACCAAGGGUUAUAGCAGGAAAGAGAGCUACCUCAGGGCUUGAAUGUGGACUAGUCGUGAGGAGCAGAGUGCAUUGCUUCCUCUAGGGUUUUAUUCCCUCCCCACCCUCCAAAUUGUUAGCUCACAGCCUUACAGGAAAGGACGGGGGCGGGCGCCUGCCCUCAGUCUGAUUUCUGAGCGUCCCUGGGUCUGACCUUAAGGGCAAGGGCAGGGAGCUUCACAUUUCAAAUACAGUUGUGGUUACGGCAGCCCAAUACUUUUGGCCCUCCUUGCUGUUCGGUUCUCCUCCCUUCUCCCAACCUCCUCACUGGUGUUGCUGGGUGUGGUACUCAAUACAGAAUAGAGAGCCUUGGGCCUGUGUCACCAGACUUCUGACCCCUUGGGCAACAGCCAGAUGGAGACUGGUCGCCUUUUGAGCCUCAGCUCUCUUCCUCUUGUUCUCCUAGGGUGGGAGUACAGCAGCCAAACGCUGAACUUAGUCCCAUCCACUUCCAUCUUAUCCUUUGUGCCCUUCAUCCCCCUGCAUCUUGUCCUUUUUGCCCUCUGGUACCUCCCAGUGCCCCAUCAUCUCUACCCCCAGGGACUCGGAGAUCAUGCAGCAGAAGCAGAAAAAGGCAAACGAGAAGAAGGAGGAACCCAAGUAGCUUUGUGGCUUCGUGUCCAACCCUCUUGCCCUUCGCCUGUGUGCCUGGAGCCAGUCCCACCACGCUCGCGUUUCCUCCUGUAGUGCUCACAGGUCCCAGCACCGAUGGCAUUCCCUUUGCCCUGAGUCUGCAGCGGGUCCCUUUUGUGCUUCCUUCCCCUCAGGUAGCCUCUCUCCC
rnacentral:sRNA from 1 species